rnacentral:rRNA from 1 species
GAGUUUGAACCUGGCUCAGGACGAACGCUGGCGGCGUGCCUAAUACAUGCAAGUCGAGCGAGCUUGCCUAGAUGAUUUUAGUGCUUGCACUAAAUGAAACUAGAUACAAGCGAGCGGCGGACGGGUGAGUAACACGUGGGUAACCUGCCCAAGAGACUGGGAUAACACCUGGAAACAGAUGCUAAUACCGGAUAACAACACUAGACGCAUGUCUAGAGUUUGAAAGAUGGUUCUGCUAUCACUCUUGGAUGGACCUGCGGUGCAUUAGCUAGUUGGUAAGGUAACGGCUUACCAAGGCAAUGAUGCAUAGCCGAGUUGAGAGACUGAUCGGCCACAUUGGGACUGAGACACGGCCCAAACUCCUACGGGAGGCAGCAGUAGGGAAUCUUCCACAAUGGACGAAAGUCUGAUGGAGCAACGCCGCGUGAGUGAAGAAGGGUUUCGGCUCGUAAAGCUCUGUUGGUAGUGAAGAAAGAUAGAGGUAGUAACUGGCCUUUAUUUGACGGUAAUUACUUAGAAAGUCACGGCUAACUACGUGCCAGCAGCCGCGGUAAUACGUAGGUGGCAAGCGUUGUCCGGAUUUAUUGGGCGUAAAGCGGGUGCAGGCGGUUCAAUAAGUCUGAUGUGAAAGCCUUCGGCUCAACCGGAGAAUUGCAUCAGAAACUGUUGAACUUGAGUGCAGAAGAGGAGAGUGGAACUCCAUGUGUAGCGGUGGAAUGCGUAGAUAUAUGGAAGAACACCAGUGG